rnacentral:rRNA from 1 species
CAGGGCCUAACACAUGCAAGUCGAACGGUGCUAGCAAUAGCAUAGUGGCGCACGGGUGCGUAACACGUAACUAACCUACCUAUAACUGGGGGAUAGCCCGCCGAAAGGCGGAUUAAUACCGCAUAAGCUCUGAGGGUGGCAUCACCUUUUUAGUAAAGAUUUAUUGGUUAUAGAUGGGGUUGCGGGUCAUUAGCUAGUUGGUUGGGUAAUGGCUGACCAAGGCGACGAUGACUAGGGGAGCUGAGAGGCUGGUCCCCCACACGGGCACUGAGAUACGGGCCCGACUCCUACGGGAGGCAGCAGUAGGGAAUAUUGGGCAAUGGGCGAGAGCCUGACCCAGCCAUGCCGCGUGCAGGAAGAAGGCUUUCUGAGUCGUAAACUGCUUUUGACAGGGAAGAAUAAGCUUGACGUGUCAAGUGAUGACGGUACCUGCAGAAUAAGCACCGGCUAACUCCGUGCCAGCAGCCGCGGUAAU